AAGGACAGUGGUGACGACAAUAACUGGGCUCUUUCUCAAAAAGCUUCAACUACUUGGGGAUGAGAAAAUGAGGAUUAGAUCUGUAUAUGCAAAUGUAAUACCUUACUUGCAAUAAGGCUAAUGAGGCCAAAUAAACAAUAACAUGUUGCCCUGAAUUCUUAUUUUCUUAAUCGGUUCAUUCUUUGUAUGGACGAA